AAUUGAUCUCCCUGUGCAAGCAGGGAUAACUCCAUAAGACGAGAAGACCCUGUGGAACUUCAAAAUCAGCUGCCACCCCAAAAUACAUACACACCCACCGGGUUCACUUACACGUAAGCCACUGGCACGCAUUUUUUCGGUUGGGGCGACCUUGGAGAAAAACAAAUCCUCCAAAAAUUGGACCAUCACUCUAGACUAAGAGCAACCCCUCAAAGUGCUAACAGCAACCAGACCCAAUACAAUUGAUCAAUGGACCAAGCUACCCCAGGGAUAACAGCGCAAUCUCCUCCAAGAGUCCAUAUCGACAAUAGGA
rnacentral:rRNA from 1 species